GCGGGCUCGCUCCGCGCUUGGAGUAAAACUGAAAUAAUGCGGAGAUUAGCUUGGCCCCUGCGCAAGGACGACACGCACAUUCGCGAAGCGUUCUGUAUUUUU